CGAACUUGGAGAUAGCUGGUUCUCUCCGAAAUAGCUUUAGGGCUAGCCUCAAGUGAUGAUUAUUGGAGGUAGAGCACUGUUUGGACGAGGGGCCCCUCUCGGGUUACCGAAUUCAGACAAACUCCGAAUGCCAAUUAAUUUAACUUGGGAGUCAGAACAUGGGUGAUAAGGUCCGUGUUCGAAAGGGAAACAGCCCAGACCACCAGCUAAGGUCCCAAAAUAUAUGUUAAGUGGAAAAGGAUGUGGCGUUGCCCAGACAACUAGGAUGUUGGCUUAGAAGCAGCCAUCAUUUAAAGAGUGCGUAAUAGCUCACUAGUCGAGUGACACUGCGCCGAAAAUGUACCGGGGCUAAACAUAUUACCGAAGCUGUGGAUUGUCCUUUGGACAAUGGUAGGAGAGCGUUCUAAGGGCGUUGAAGCAUGAUCGCAAGGACAUGUGGAGCGCUUAGAAGUGAGAAUGCCGGUGUGAGUAGCGAAAGACGGGUGAGAAUCCCGUCCACCGAUUGACUAAGGUUUCCAGAGGAAGGCUCGUCCGCUCUGGGUUAGUCGGGUCCUAAGCUGAGGCCGACAGGCGUAGGCGAUGGAUAACAGGUUGAUAUUCCUGUACCACCUAUAAUCGUUUUAAUCGAUGGGGGGACGCAGUAGGAUAGGCGAAGCGUACGAUUGGAUUGUACGUCUAAGCAGUGAGAUUGAGUGUUAGGCAAAUCCGGCACUCUUAAGAUUGAGCUGUGAUGGGGAGAGGAAAUUGUUUCCUCGAGUCGUUGAUUUCACACUGCCGAGAAAAGCCUCUAGAUAGAGAUUAGGUGCCCGUACCGCAAACCGACACAGGUAGUCAAGAUGAGAAUUCUAAGGUGAGCGAGCGAACUCUCGUUAAGGAACUCGGCAAAAUGACCCCGUAACUUCGGGAGAAGGGGUGCUCUUUAGGGUGCAAGCCCAGAAGAGCCGCAGUGAAUAGGCCCAAGCGACUGUUUAUCAAAAACACAGGUCUCUGCUAAACCGUAAGGUGAUGUAUAGGGGCUGACGCCUGCCCGGUGCUGGAAGGUUAAGAGGAGUGGUUAGCUUCUGCGAAGCUACGAAUCGAAGCCCCAGUAAACGGCGGCCGUAACUAUAACGGUCCUAAGGUAGCGAAAUUCCUUGUCGGGUAAGUUCCGACCCGCACGAAAGGCGUAACGAUUUGGGCACUGUCUCAACGAGAGACUCGGUGAAAUCAUAGUACCUGUGAAGAUGCAGGUUACCCGCGACAGGACGGAAAGACCCCGUGGAGCUUUACUGUAGCCUGAUAUUGAAAUUCGGCACAGCUUGUACAGGAUAGGUAGGAGCCUUUGAAACGUGAGCGCUAGCUUACGUGGAGGCGUUGGUGGGAUACUACCCUAGCUGUGUUGGCUUUCUAACCCGCACCACUUAUCGUGGUGGGAGACAGUGUCAGGCGGGCAGUUUGACUGGGGCGGUCGCCUCCUAAAAGGUAACGGAGGCGCUCAAAGGUUCCCUCAGAAUGGUUGGAAAUCAUUCAUAGAGUGUAAAGGCAUAAGGGAGCUUGACUGCGAGACCUACAAGUCGAGCAGGGUCGAAAGACGGACUUAGUGAUCCGGUGGUUCCGCAUGGAAGGGCCAUCGCUCAACGGAUAAAAGCUACCCCGGGGAUAACAGGCUUAUCUCCCCCAAGAGUUCACAUCGACGGGGAGGUUUGGCACCUCGAUGUCGGCUCAUCGCAUCCUGGGGCUGUAGUCGGUCCCAAGGGUUGGGCUGUUCGCCCAUUAAAGCGGUACGCGAGCUGGGUUCAGAACGUCGUGAGACAGUUCGGUCCCUAUCCGUCGUGGGCGUAGGAAAUUUGAGAGGAGCUGUCCUUAGUACGAGAGGACCGGGAUGGACAUACCUCUGGUGUACCAGUUGUCGUGCCAACGGCAUAGCUGGGUAGCUAUGUAUGGACGGGAUAAGUGCUGAAAGCAUCUAAGCAUGAAGCCCCCCUCAAGAUGAGAUUUCCCAACUUCGGUUAUAAGAUCCCUCAGAGAUGAUGAGGUUAAUAGGUUCGAGGUGGAAGCGUGGUGACACGUGGAGCUGACGAAUACUAAUCGAUCGAAGACUUAAUCAA
rnacentral:rRNA from 1 species